rnacentral:ncRNA from 1 species
AUCUGUAGACGCGGGAGCUCGGAGCACCGGGCUGAGAGGGCGCUGACGUCGCUGCGCCGACCGCAGGAACCUGACCGGGUAAUGCCGGCGUAGGGAGUAGUAGGUCUGAUGAC